CCUACGGGCGGCAGCAGUGGGGAAUAUUGGACAAUGGGGGCAACCCUGAUCCAGCCAUGCCGCGUGUGUGAAGAAGGCCCUCGGGUUGUAAAGCACUUUCAGUGAGGAAGAACGCCUGGUGGUUAAUACCCAUCAGGAAAGACAUCACUCACAGAAGAAGCACCGGCUAACUCCGUGCCAGCAGCCGCGGUAAUACGGAGGGUGCGAGCGUUAAUCGGACUUACUGGGCGUAAAGCGCGCGUAGGUGGCUUGAUAAGCCGGUUGUGAAAGCCCCGGGCUCAACCUGGGAACGGCAUCCGGAACUGUCAAGCUAGAGUGCAGGAGAGGAAGGUAGAAUUCCCGGUGUAGCGGUGAAAUGCGUAGAGAUCGGGAGGAAUACCAGUGGCGAAGGCGGCCUUCUGGACUGACACUGACACUGAGGUGCGAAAGCGUGGGUAGCAAACAGGAUUAGAUACCCGUGUAGUC
rnacentral:rRNA from 1 species